UACGAAGGGGGCUAGCGUUGCUCGGAAUUACUGGGCGUAAAGCGCACGUAGGCGGCUUUCUAAGUCGGGGGUGAAAUCCUGGAGCUCAACUCCAGAACUGCCUUCGAUACUGGAAAGCUCGAGUCCGGGAGAGGUGAGUGGAACUGCGAGUGUAGAGGUGAAAUUCGUAGAUAUUCGCAAGAACACCAGUGGCGAAGGCGGCUCACUGGCCCGGUACUGACGCUCAUGUGCGAAAGCGUGGGGAGCAAACAGG
rnacentral:rRNA from 1 species